UGGGUAGUCCGCACGAGCGCACCUUACUUUUAGUUGCUACCAUUUAGUUGGGCACUCUAAAAGAACUGCCGGUGAUAAGCUGGAGGAAGGUGGGGAUGACGUCAAGUCCUCAUGGCCCUUAUGUGUUGGGCUACACACGUGCUACAAUGGUACUCACAGUGAGAAGCGAAGAGGCGACUCUAAGCUAAUCCCUAAAAAGUACCUCAGUUCGGAUUGUACUCUGCAACUCGAGUAUAUGAAGCUGGAAUUACUAGUAAUCGCGGAUCAGCGCGCCGCGGUGAAUACGUUCCCGGGUCUUGUACACACCGCCCGUCACACCAUGGAAGUUGGUUUUACCUUAAGCUGGUGUGCUAACCGCAAGGAAGCAGCCGUCCACGGUAGAGUUAGCGACUGGGGCGAAGUCGUAACAAGGUAGCCGUAGGGGAACCUGUGGCUGGAUCACCUCCUUUCU
rnacentral:rRNA from 1 species